rnacentral:rRNA from 1 species
ACCUGCCCUAUGAAUAAGUUAUUUUUAAAUGGCUGCGGUACUUUGACCGUGCAAAGGUAGCAUAAUAAUUAGUUUCUUAAUUAGGAACUGGAAUGAAUGGUCGAACGAGAAAAAGACUGUCUCAAUUUAAUUUAAAUUAGAAUUUUAUUUUUAAGUAAGAAAGCUUAAAUAUUCUUAAAAGACGAGAAGACCCUAUAGAGUUUUAUAUAAAUUAUUAUAAUUGAAAGGUAAAGUAUUAUAGAUUUAGUUAUAGUAAUUUAUAUUUGGUUGGGGCGAUUAAAAAAUUUAAUAAACUUUUUUUAGAUAAGACCAUUAAUUUAUGAGUGAGUGAUCCAUAAUUUAUGAUUAAAAGAUU